UUUCCGUAGGUGAACCUGCGGAAGGAUCAUUAAUGAGUUGUCAUGGGGUUCGAUGCUGUCAGACAGUUUUUGGAUGCAUGUGCUUGCCCUAACAAUCAUCUUCUUCCAAACACCUGUGCACAUUUUUGAGGGAGUCUUGAGUUGGUUGCCGCUCUUGGGUGAUUUUCUCACAUUCCCUUAAAUCAUUAUACGCUAUUAACAAUGUUGAACGUGCUCUGUGCCGCAAGGCCAUUAAUAUAAUACAACUUUUAACAACGGAUCUCUUGGCUCUC
rnacentral:misc_RNA from 1 species